rnacentral:lncRNA from 1 species
UCAUGUCUCUAUCAUACCUCCCUCUAAUGAGGAUGAUAUGAAUCUCCUUUCUUAUGAAAUCAAUAUUGAAAAUGAUAGGUCCAAACCCUCACAUAUCCUCUAUUCACAUGUUUUAGUUACAACUUACUUCAUCUUCAUUUUCAAAUGUUAAUGUAACAGGUUACAAAUUACAAAUGUAUAUAGUUAUUUUAUUUCUUCACAUCUCUACAUAAAAUAAUUAAUUGUUUUGAAUUUUUUCUUCACUUUGUUCAUUUUGAGAUGAAUAGAUAUAGUUGUGAGAUGUAUAUUGUCCAAAUACUUUUCUAUAGCUAUCAUGACGUCAAAGGAGAAAAUUACUAUAUAUAUAUGUAUAAUAAAAACUAAAGUGUUAUACUUUACCUUAUAAAGCAUUAAGACACAAUUACAUCCUUAAUUAAUUAACAGCAAAACAUUGGAAAAGUACAGACUAGAGAACAUGAAAAGAGUAGAUCAGACCAAAAGACACACUUAUACUAUUCUUCUUUCUUCUUCCUCUUCUUUUUCUUUUGGCCUUUGGACAGACAUUUUUAAACACAUUUACACAAACAAAAGCUUUUCGAUUUUAUAGACACUAAAAGAAGGAAAACAGGUCAUGAUCAAGAAGGGCCGGAAGCAUAAAGUCAAAUAUAUAACUUGAUCAUGUUCUAUUUUUGUAGCUGUCGACUGUGGUCGUCGGAGCAAUGCUUCCCGGGUGAACUUUUUUAUUCCUUGCAAGCAAAGAACCACCACUAGAGGAACCCGUGGCGGUGGCGGUCUCUCCUCGGGAGAAUCGAUUUGGUUCCAUUCUCUCAAGUUUCUCCUUUUGUUGCUUCUGUAGGAGGUGGAUUUUGGCAUAGGAAGCUCCAAGGGAUGACAUGAUUUUGAGAAUAUAGAGAAAGAAGGAGGCCUAUAAAGAAGAUCGAGGAAGAAGGAAGAAGGAAGAAGGAAGAAGGAAGAAGGAAGAAGAUAUUGGAAUUAUUAUUUUGGGUUUUUCUUGUUGUUGGAAGUUAGUUUUUGUUUUGGUGUAUUUAGAAGCUUUGAAAUUGGUAGUAUUUAUAAGCCAUGCAUGGCUUUGGUUAGGGCUGCAAAGCUUUUAAUAAAUUAAUUAAAUCUCAUAUGCUCCAAACCCAAUAUGUUUUCUCUUAAUUAAUAAUUAAUCAAAUUCAACUGUCAUUGUCAUAAAAGAAGGAGCUACUUUUUAUAACUAAUAUAAAUUUUUUUAUCAACCAAUAAUAUAACUAAAUUACAUUAGAAAUUAAGUUGAACCUAAGGGUUCCUUCCCAAUCAAACCAAUGCUCAUUUUUUACUCACUUUCUAUUGGAAUAAAACCACUUACUACUAUCACACGAUUAUGCAAAAAUUAAAGUGAGAAAUAAAAAAAAUAUACUUUGUCAAAAAUUAUUACAACCACAUAAAAAAUUCUCUCUCCAACUCUAAGUAUAAGAACUCGUUAUAUCGGUUGUAGCUAACAUAUGCUAAACUCAAAGUGCUUAAAAUGAUGGGAUGAUAUAUUUGAAAUCAAAGAUAUUAAGCUUCUUUUAUUGCCUUGAGGUGACUUUCUUGAACAUUAUUUCUCUAAAUAGGUGAAAACGAAGACUUUCCAAGUGAUCACCAAAUUUAGUACUAUAUCGUUCGAGUAUGCUUAACUGUAAAGUUUUGAUGAGAUUUGGUGCGUUAUGAUAUAUGAAUGUGUAUCCUUUUUUAUGAAUCAUUCUAUGCUUUUAGAUCAAGAUUUGAGGUGUCAUCCAAAGAGUCAUGAUACGGUAUGUCUAAAAUGGUGUACGGUUACAACUCCCAUAUAGUUAUUAGACACAUAUUCAUAUAUGUUAAGAAUAAAAUAAUGCUAAGCCAAAUUGGUGAGGAAAUUAAACAAAAAUCUUUUUCACCCUCUAAAUAAAGAAGCGUUUGAGGCAAUAAUUGGUUAUUAUAGUUGAGUUAUAAUGAUUUUGUGCGUGGAGCGUAGAUUAUUUUAGUUUGAGUUUUAAUAAUAUGUUAUUUUAACCAUGAAGUAGGGUUUCUGAAAACCCAAAAUUAGAAAUCCGAGCUUGUAUUAAUGUUUUGUGUUGGAAUGCUUUGAAUUUAUUAUUUGACGUUCUGAAUGUAUGACCAAAAUAUAACGGUCUUGUCACCUAGUACAUCAAUAUCAACUAGAGUACAUGGGCGAUGAAACAAAUAUAUUAAGUUGUAUUUGUAUUCAUGUUAUUUUAUUUUGGCUCUAUAAGGCUUUGAACAGUGCACAAUAUUAAACUCUCUAACAACAAUUGAAUCUAUAGUAUGAUAUUUUCUUGCUAAUAAAGUUUGUACUCUUCCUUUACACGUGAAUGUAGCUAACACACUGUUGGUGAACUAUAUGUUAAAUCUUUGUGUUGAUUAUUCUCUAUUGUUUAUGUUCGCUUUUUAUUUUUUAUUUAUCUUUGAUUGUCAAGUUCUUAACAUUUUUGGAUGUGGUUUUGUUUAUUUAAGCUUGAUUAAGUCACUAUAUGAAUUUUUUCUCAUAAAACCGUUCCGUUAUACUAUCUCUACUAACCCUUUAAACCAUGAGAUUGAUAAUAACAAGCUCCAACUUCUCAACUUUAAAUUUAGACAUCUUUGUGUGCUUAUUUUAUUAUUUAUACCAAAACGAGUAUAACUCAACCCAACAUAAAAUAUUUACUAUCAAUCUCGAUAUCAUAUGUUCGAUUUUCUUUACCCACAUUGUCAAAGAGGAAAAAAAAACUCCAAAAGUUGACAAAAAAGAUAGAUGUAUAUGCAUCAAAACUAAUAGCCAAACAUCCUUUUGGUGAUGAUUUCAUAGGAAACCGACUAAUUCCAACUAUUUACCAACAAAUUGAAUUAAAAUAUAUAAAACCCAAAGUACAACAACACUAAGCAUGCCACACUCUUAAGAGAGUUGGUGAAGAAUGAAAGCCCAUGUUUUUGGUAUAUUAUUAUUAUUACUACUUAAUGUGAAUGAUUAGAUUAUAUUAGAGAUGAUUUUUAUUAAUGAAACCACGAAUGAGAAUGAAUAAUAGUGCUUAGGAGAAAAAGGCAUUUUUCAGGUCAUUAAAGUGGAAGAACCACACAUAGACUCAAUGAAAAUGAAAUUAAUAAUUAUAAUCAUAAUUAAUAAUCUAAGUGGCUUAGGCUUUUUCUAAGUGGCAUAACUAUUAAUUAGUAACCACAAAUGAUGGCACGUCAGAUGUGGUUUAUUGAAAUGGAAGCUGCCUAGUUGGACAUUGUAACUGUUUCAAUUUUUUCUAAUUAAGGGUUUAAUUAAUUUGAUUAAGAACACACCCCAUGAUAUCAUACCAAUAGAAGGGUCUUAUCUCCUUAACUAUCAGCCACGUUGUUGUUGUUGGGAUCCAAGUUGGAUUAGUCCCCUUUAUUGACCAAUUGAUAAUAUUAUUGUACUUAAUUAAUUUCAUUGUGACUAAGAUAUAAUAGAUAAUAGAGGUGCAGUUUAAUUUGGUUAGCUAGUCAUCAUUUUUUAACAAGAAUGUUGUCGCGACUAAAUUACAAAUUAGAAUCUUUUGAGUUCGAUCUAAAUAUUUAAGUUUAGUUUCAAUUUAAAUAUGACGCACAAAAGAGAAUGGGCUAGUACUAGACGAGUAUUUGUGCCUAAGUUCGUUAAAGGCUUUAAGAUGUAAGUUUAGUAUGAGUUUUUUUUUAGAAUCAUAAAUGACUAAUUCUUUUUUUUUUUCUUAAAGUCAUAAUGACUUGAGUAUAUGUCAAUUGACCUAGGGUUCGUGAACUUUCCUCCAUAUUUUGUACGAGGUUAUAGAUAUGUGCCAUCAUAAUUGCAUACUUAUUGAGCUAAUUAACCUAUAUAAAACUUUUAAAUCAAACAGAUUACAGUCAUUUUGAAAAAUUUAUUUAUUGAUUCUUGACUAGAUAUAUACAAGAUAAAGAAAACUAAGCCAACUAUCACGCCUAAUUUAAACUAAAUAUUCAAACCACAACUAGUAAAUUUGAAACUUGUAAAGAGGAACUAAUUGAAACUAUAUCCAAAUUAAGUUACAACUUUUAAAGGGAAAAGAAUCAGACCAUGAUAAUAUUUCUAAAAUCAUUUAAAAGGUGAAUACUAUUUUCUUUUUUAAAUUUGGUACGGUAGAAGAAUUUAACUAUAAACUUCUUAGUUGAGUUCGCUUUAAUUAAUAUUACUUUAAAAUAAAAUAUUACAUAAGUAAAAAGAUACAAAUGACCACAAAUAAUUUAAUGCCUGACAAAAUAUUGAACACAGUUGUUCAAAAUUGACAUGUAAAAGAUGUCCUAACAUCAACUUCAAUUUUUCCUCUAUGUACAUAUACACACAUGUAUAAAAAACAAAAUUAAGUAGAGACUAUCAUGAAAAAAAUUUGCAUAUAUAUAUAAGAUAAAAGUAUUUAUCUUAGUGAAAUUAAAAAAAGAGAUUUAAAGAGUCUCGAGAAUAUAAGCAUAAUUCGAUUCAUAAAAUAUCAAUUAUCAUUCAAUUUCAAAAUUUGGUAAAAGAUGAUCCACUAAUAUGUUUUGUUCGUCAAUCAUUUAUUUUCUUAUAAAUAUAAGAAAGGAAGAGAAUAAUAUAUAUAUAUAUAGUUACCAAUAGCAUUUAAAAUAUUACUUGAGCUAGGUUUAAUUAUACUCCUAGUUCUUACUAAUCAUUUGUUUGAACCAAUAGGCUGACAUCUUAGGAAUUCUGUUGAGAUUGUGUUUGUAAUCAACAUAUAUGAUACCAAACCUUGAAGUAUAACCUGAUAGCCAUUCAAAGUUAUCAAGCAAAGACCAUGCAAAAUAUCCACUCACAUUAGCUCCAUCAUCAAUGGCUUUCUUCAUGUUUUGCAAAUAUGUCUUGUAGUAAUUUAUUCUUUCUCUAUCAUUUAACCCUUCAGGAAGUGGGAUAUCAGAAGUGUCCAUUCCUAUCAUUGCAUUUAAAAUAGAAUUAAACGUUUAACUGUUACAAAAUACCUGCUACCAGCUACUUGCCAACAUAUGUACGUAUAACGACGACUUCUAGUGCAAACCCAAUUAUCAAAUAUCAUGUGAGAAAAAAAUGCUGAAUGAGUUUUCAAAAUUCCUAUAUUUUGUUUUCAAAUUUUGAUUACGAUUAUUUCAAAGAUACCAUAUUCUUGUAGGGAUAAUGAUUUGAAAAUCUAUACAAAUCAUAUACAUUUUUAGAAAAAUAAUUAUAAAAGGGAAUAUUCUGUACAGUUUUUUUCUUAUGAAAAAAGGAAUUAGUAAUAAAUAUAACCUCAUGACUAAAACUGAUCAAAAACAAAUAAACAGAAAUUGAGAGUGAAUUACCAUUUUCUGAAACUAUAACGUUUGGAUUUCGAUAGUGUUGCUUCACAUACAUCAAAGCUUUGUACAUUCCCCAUGGUACUUCAUACAACCAUCCGGUAUGAGCCUGAGACCAAUCAAAAGUUAUAUUUAGUAGUUAAAAGCGAACAUCGCUCAAUCGAUGUUAAAGAUUAAUUACGUACUCGUUGACCAAUUGGUUUUCCAUUCUUUUCAUCUGUGGGAACAAAAUUAUAAGAAAAAAGUAGCAUUAGAAUAUAGAAAUAAUUGAAGUGAAGAAGAUGAUUAAAUAAUUAUAAUAAUAACAAUGGUGUAGUAGAGUCUUACAAGCAUAGCCAACAUGCCAAUCAGAUUGAUAGCCAGGAGUGGUUGGUUUUGGCCAAGUAGGGUUGAACAUAUAGAAAGUUGUAUAUUGAUUGAUACCCACAAAAUCUACUGACCCUUUCACCUUUUUUACCUCUUCUUCACUGAAUUUUGGUAACCUUUCUUUUACUAUUUCUUGCAUUCUUCUUGGAUAUUCACCAUAUGUAAAUGGAUGCAAGAACCUAAUUUCAAACAUAUACAUAUAUGUAUAGGUUGGUGAAAAUUGAUAUUAUAUAUUUAAUGAUCCAAUUUAACAUAAAAAUUAAACUUGAACACAAAACAAAUCACAAAUUGGAUUAAUAUAUUAAUUUUUACCAGCCAAUAUGAAAAUCUCUUGCUCUUUGAGCUGCAUCUCUGUCUUCUUUCUCAUUAGUGAGAGGUUCAUAAUAUGUAAAAUCCAACAAAAUCCCAACUCUUCCUCCUUGUUUUUCCUAUAGAAAUUACAAGUCUAUAUAUUAAUAAAAAUAUUAUUCACAAAAAUAAAAACAAAACUUAAUAAAUAAUUAGAAAAAAAAAGCAUCUUUACUUACUUGAAAUUUCUUCCUAUAUGUAUCAACCACAUUAGCAUGGGAAAGAAUUAUAUUAUGAGCCACAAUGUAAGGUUCAGUUCCUGAAUUCCCAUCUGUACAAUUUCCAUAUUCUUUUGAACAUCUUGAAGGAGGCAUUAUUCCGCUAUUGAACCCAACAUCAGCUAUAACUCUCGGUUCGUUAAAUGUCAUCCAAUUCUUCACUCUAUCUCCAAAUUCUUCAAAACAAAAUUCUGCAUAAUUUGUAAAAUCGAUCCUGCAUGCACAUAUAUAUGUUGAAAAUAAUUGCAAUCAUAACCCAAUGUAGGUAUGAAAAUAUAAGUUAUACACAUAAGUUUGAUCAAACUUACACAAUUUGCUUGUCUAGUAAACCUCUAUAUCUUUCUUGUAAUGCCAAGGGAAGAUCGUAGUGGUAAAGAUUUGCAUAGGGUGUGAUUCCUUCACGUUGCAAUGAAAAGGAAACACACACAUAGAAUUAUAAUCAUUAAAAUUUUAUUAUAUUGAGUUUUUGAAAUUUAAACAAAUAGUUGUUUGACAUUUAAAAUUUAACUAAAAAUUUAAUAAAUAAAGAGAAAAUAAGUUCAAUUAAAAAACAAACUAAUUAAAUCGAUGAAAUAAUUACUAAAAGAAGUCGUAAAUAAUAAAGAGUCAAUUACAAUUACGACGUAAUGAUCGUCUUAUUAAACCAUAAAAUACUUUAAAAAACUCGAUUACUUAAAUAUAUUAUCAUUUUCGCUAGACAAGUCUUUCAAAUAAAAUUAAAAAUAAAAUGACUAGAGUCUAUGUCCAAAAUAACAACAUUAUAUCCUAACAAAGAAAUAGUCUAAUUAUUUAAGUAAGUAAAUAAUAACUAAUUUAUCAUUUUGUUUUCUGAUUUGAAAAUUAUACGUCGUAAAAUUUUAAAUAAAUUCGGCUUCAUUUUUUAUACCGAAAAAUAAAAUAGAUAUUAAUUAAAUAGGCUAUAAUUUGAAUUUUUUUUAUACUAAAAUUGAAAUCAAAUAAAAUGAAUGGGUGUAACAUAUAAUAUUUUACCUUGUUGAAUCAUGUAGUCAAUCAAUCUAUUAUAGUAAGCAACCCCUUUCCAAUUUACUUCUCCUGUUCCAUCUAUUGAAAAAAAAGAAGCAAAAAUGAAAUAAAACAGAUUAUUUAUUAAUUAUAAUUAUGUAGCUGCAGGUAAUGAUUUUUGCCAUUCAAAAGAUAAAAAUAUUGUAUAAAGAGAAAAUUUUAAAUACUUGGAAAUAUCCUCGGCCAAGAAAUCGAGAAUCGAUAAGCAUCGAAGUUCAGCUUUUUCAUGUUAUCAAUGUCUUCCUAUUCCAAACGGACAAAGAAAUUAAAUUAAAAACAUAAAAUUAGAAAUUUAAAAACAAUUUUGUUAAGAUUAAAAAGAAAAAUCAUUAACCAGAUAUAUAUGGAUAUUCAAACUUCUUAAUAUCAAUUAAAUAUGAUGACAUGAUUCACGUAUACCUUGUAUCGAUGAUAUUGAUCCACAGCUACAUCUCCAGUAGCAUUGUCAACAAUUUUUCCUACUCACAACCAUUUCAAAAAAAACAAGGAAAAAUAACUCAAGCAAUUAUAUUUAUUAUGCCAUGAGAAUCUCUCACAUCGGAAAAAAAUAAGAAGAUCUGAUGAUAUUUAGUUCAUUUUUAACUAAAUCAGAACUCAAAAGUAAUGGAAAGAUAUGAGUACCGGGGAGUUUAACGAAAGGAUCCCAAAUGCUUUGGCCUCGGCCAUCCUUGUCAGCCAUUCCUUCUACUUGGUAUGCAGAAGUUGCAGUUCCAAAGACGAAACCUUCUGGAAAUGCAGCUCGACUGAGCCCUCCGGUGUCGAAGAUGGUACUGGAGAAGUCAUAAGUUGGUUUGGAUGCGAAAAUUGUAGCAAUGAUGAGAGUGAGUUGAAGGAAGAAGAAGCAGAUUUUCAUAGUUUUUUUUUUUUUUUUUUUGUUGCAAAAGGAUAGAAGAUAAGAGAAAGAGUAAGAAAGUUUGAGUUUAUGAAUGAUUGGUUUGGAAAAUUUUAUUUACAAAAAGUGAAAGGUUUGUUUUUAUUUUUCUAUUUUAAUUAUAGAGAAAGGAAAGGAGAAUUUGGAUGGUAAUUGGUAGAUACCGAAUAUAUUCAAAGUGCAGAAGAAAACAAAUGGAACUUAUCCAAAGUAAAUUCACGGGAAUAUAUUUUCAUCCGUACACAGUGUUUAUAUAUAUACAUAUUACUAUACAUAUAGCAAAAGCCAACAUAGUUGAAUUAAUUAUCACUAAAUCGAUCAAAUACUUUUAAAAUUUUGAUAUUUUGAGUCGACAUUUUCAUUGAAAAAGAGAUUGAACAAAUGAAAGAACUAAAGAUUUUGGGAUGUAGACUUUUUUUUAUGUCAUGAUAUGAUAUCUUUUAACAACAAUUUAAUUCUCUAGAUAGUUUGAAAUUAAUUUAUAAAUAUUAUAAUUCAUUUUAGUAAAGGAAAAAAAUUUAAUGGUAUGUUUUGAAAUAAUUUCAAAUUUCAAACAUUUUCUUCAACAUAGUCAAUUAAAAAUUGAACCGUAAAAUUUAGAGGUAUUUAGGGUUUGUUUAUUGAUUUUAGAAAAAUAUAAAAUAAUUUCAAAUGGAUGUUAGAGAAAUGAGAUGAUAUGUAAUUUUUAUUUAGUAAUUUGAUUGGAAAUCAUUCUAAAAUGGUUAUUUAAUUUUUUUACACACUCAUUUGAGAAAUUUUUUUAUAAUUAUUUCUCAAAUAGAAAACCACUUAUUAAAUAAUUUUAAAUUAAUUAAUUUUUGAAAUCAAACAUCGAAAAUCAAUUCUUAAUAUAUGGAAAUCUCUUAUGAGAGUUUGAUAUCAACAUAAAUUUAGUUGCUUACAAAUUAUUUUUAUAAAAUUUAUCUAUUUCGCUUAAAUCAUAUCCAACUCUUAUCCAUGUUUAGAAUAAAGUUAGAAUAUUACAUAAAUCAAAUGAUGACAAUGGUUAAAAGAAAGAUUUUGCAAAAACAAAAACUAAUGACACACCUUAUUAAGCAGUAGCACUAAAAACUAUGUAGUAGGUGACAUGAUAUUGUUUAUAUAUAGAAUGAAAACUAUUAAAAAUAUAUGGCUAUAGUUAAUUAGUUGAUAUAUAAUACAGAAUGUUGGGCAGAAAUUUUCAUCCUAAACAAUUAGGUUAGCUAGAGUUGUGUUCGACAGUAAUAACUAUUAUAACUUAUGUUUUACUAAUCUUAGUUUAAUUGUCAAAAAAAAAUAGCAUAACAUUAUGCACCAUCUUUGUUGAGAUCUCAAAUUCUAACCUUUACCUUUACAUGAAUUAUAUUGAAAAAACUUUAUUAAAUUUUGAACUUCUAAGACCAUCCCUUCCAAUAAUAAUGUAAAGAUGAAUUUCAUUAAACUUCCACGCUAAGUUAUACAAGUAGAAAAUGUGUUCAAGAGAUUCAAGAGAAUUCACGAGGUUAUUUAAUACUGUGGUGACAGUCAUACGAAUCUUUAGUUGGUAACUUUCCUUCCUACUUAAAGAAUAUUUUAGUUUAGUCAGUGCAAAAUCAUGUACCAUAAAAUAAGAGAUAAACUUGAACAUAUAACUAUCAAAGUAUUAUUUCUCCCGCGUUGGGUAAAUUUUCCUUGUUUUAGUAUCAAAAUUAAUAUGAAAGUGUGUUUAAACUAUUACUAUUCGACCCGAUCCUAAAGCAAGACAUACUUACAAAGAGCUAUACUUGAUUGAUAUCUACAAAUUAGAUAUUAGAGUUAAGUAAGAAUCAAAAGCUCAACAUAUAUAUCAAAAUUCUAACAAAACAACCAUCCAAGUAGGAGAAAGAAAGAUGAAUAAUGCUUUCCUUCGUUUUUUUUCAUCCCUUUUAUUUUUUCUCUUCCCUCUCUACCCCUUCCAUGACAAUGGAAAAGAGGAAAAUCUCUCCCUCUAAAUUUUUAAGUAAAUUGAUUAAAUAAAAAAUAUUAAAAACUUAGUAUUGUGAAAGAAUAACUGAAUACUUGUUUGACUAGGAAUGGAGACAGACCCACAUUUAGCCAUAGACUUAUUUGACCAAAUAUGGUGAUUGAUCCACAAGAUCAACCAUCUAGCCGUAUAAUAUAUGCUCUUUAUAUAUAUACACACACAACUUCAUACUCUUUAGAUACAUAUAAUACUAAUAACAUUAGUUAGCACAAUGGUAAAGUUGUCUUCUCGUCUUUUCUACCUUAACAAGAUUUCUAGUAUGUCCUUUCUACCAUAUGGAUUGUCAAAGUGUCGAUGACCAAACAUAAUAUGGAGGCUAUUUUUUCUAUUUUGUAGGUUGUAAAAAUGAUUAUAUUAGAAAGAAUAAGUUGAUACCAAAUAUCAACUAUAUAUCAACACCUAUUAAUAUUUAUGGAAAAGAAAACUACUACCAUAUAAAUAUACAAAGCUUAACCAAAUUUGUAAUUUAGCAUAAAGUUAUUCUUUAACAAAAAAAAAAAAAAAAGAAGAAGAAGAAGAAAAAACCCCUUAAAUUAAUGACAACAAUUUCUCUAUUUUAUUAUAUAUUAAUUGAUUUUCUCAAAAAAAGAACAAAAUAAUAAUAUUAAUAUUAAAAUUUGCUUUAGACUCGGGGCAGUCCGCCGAAACCUUGUUUCGUCUUCCUCCUCUUCUUCUUCUUUUGAAGCCGCCGGCUCAGUAGCUCUCCAAUGGAGGGAACCAACAAAACCGCCAAAAGAAAGCUGGUCAAGAAAUCUGAAAACAAGGUCGAUAAGAAACUCAAGAAAGAGCUUGAACAUAACGUUCAGUCUCAACCAGUCGACGACGUCUCCGACUCCGAUUUCGACGAUCUUCCCAAACUCCUCGAACCCUUCUCCAAGACCCAAUUAAUUGAGCUCAUUUGCACCACCGCUCUCAAAGACCCAAAUCUUCAAGCCCAAAUUCGAGCUGCUGCCGACCGCGAUGUUACUCACCGCAAGAUAUUUGUCCAUGGCCUCGGUUGGGACACCACCCGAGAAACCCUAACUUCGGUUUUUGAAUCUUUUGGUGAAAUUGAAGAUUGCAAUGUGGUUAUGGACAGAAACACAGGUAAGGCUAAGGGAUAUGGGUUUAUAUUUUGUUCAAAUCCCGGCAAGGUGCAAUUAAGGCGUUGAAGGAACCUAGGAAGAAGAUUAAUAACCGGAUGACUUCGUGUCAAUUGGCUUCUGUGGGUUCAGUGCCGCCCCCGCAAAGCCAGGAGGUUGGGCCGCGGAAGAUUUAUGUGGCUAAUGUGCACCAUAAUGUGGAUGCUGAGAGGCUUAGGGCGUUCUUUGCGAAAUUUGGAGACUUAGAGAUGGGUCCGAUUGGGUUCGAUCCCGAGACAGGGAAAUCGAGGGGUUAUGCCAUUUUUAUUUAUAGAACGAAUGAAGGUGCGAGGAAGGCUCUUGAGGAACCACACAAAGUGUUUGAAGGGAACAAAUUGCACUGCCAGAGGGCGUCUGAGGGGAAGAACAAGAAUCAAAAUUCCACACAGGCAGCGGAAAGCUUAGGGCAGAAUCAGACGCCGGUUAUGGCGGCAAUGGCCGCAGCUCCUAAUUUGCAAUUGUUUGCUCAACAUCCGGGCCUUAAUCAUCCGGUGUAUGGUGGAUAUGGGAGUCCAGCUUUGGGAGGUGGUAUGUUGAACCAGGGAGUAGUUCCCAUGAGUCAAGUGGGUUUGGUUGGUAGUUCAGUUGGGGCUGGGAUUGGCUUGAGUGGUUACAGUGGGGGGUCGUAUGGCUUAAGCCAAUUAAGUGCUGGUGGUUCGUCAUUGCUAGGCUCUUAUGGGCCUGGUUCGUCAUCGUUGAAGGGGUUGCCGCACAUUUACUCAAGCACAAUGCUCGGUAAGACGGUUUCUGAAUCGGGUCAGGCGGCUGCUGGUGGGUCUCUCGGAGGAUACACGUCACACUUGUGGUAUGAAAUGUUUCAUAUUCUUUUUAUUUACUGCACUUCUACCAUUUAAAUGUUUCAACUUUUCAUUCAGUGCAUAUCAUUAAUUACAGUGAUAGGUAGUAUAUAGAUUAUUGAUGGGUACUGUUAAGAACUUAAGACUGUCAUCAACAAAAGCCUGCGUGUAUAAUUGUGACUUAGAUGAUUGAUAUAUGAAAUACCUAGGAUGGCCAAUGGCCAUUAGGAGGUAAUUCUGAGAAUUUGUAAUUCAUGAAGUGGCAAUCAAAUCCUUUCGAAAUAAAUAAAUAACUCAUGUGGUAAUCAAACUACUUUAGCAAUGAAUAAAAAUGCUCUUCUUAAAAGGUAGUCAUGACCUCUGGCCAAGGCAGCUUUAUUUAAUACUUCACACAUAUUAUCUUUGUUUAUGUUUAUGACAUCGGGUAGAGUUUUCAAAGUACUUGGAAAGGAAUUGGUAGGGACUUCUUUGAAAAGAGUUGGGUAAAGAAGGAGGUUUAUGAAUUUUGUUUAGUAAACUAGAGGAGGAUGGCUUGUUGCUGUGGUAUGCAAGAGGUUUUAGGAGAGAUAAUGUUUACAGGGUGCUGGUAGAUGCGACUCCUAUUAUAGUAAAAGUUUAGGCUUAACAGCCAGCAAGUGUAUCGAUUUAGAAAAAUGACGUUGAAACUGAUUUAUUGGAAGACCAAAAUUUCUGCUUGAUUGACUAAAAACCCAUCCAAAUGGAUUGCUAAGCUUACAAGAACAGAAUCAAAUUGACCAAAUAAACCUGAUUUGUUAUACUUAUACCUAACAAAUUUUGGUUAUGAAGUUGCAUCUGCGGCUCUGCCAAUAAAGUCUUGUAAUGGGUUACCUUGUUCUUGAGAUCUGUGCCAAUACAUCCUUUCUAUCUUGAGGGAAAACAAUUCUUAGUAGCUCAAAGUUAUUUUGAACGAACAUGGGAGCCAGGAUUUGGGAUGUUAAAUAAUAACUCCCGCUCUUAAUAGGACCUUGAAUGCUCAUUGGAGUUCCCAUUACCAAAGGCAGUCCGGUGGUUUAAGAGAUGCAUCCUCCUAUAAGAUAUACGAGGAGGAUGUUUGAUGUAGUAUGAAUACCUUUUGUUCUCUUUUACGUACAUCAAUCACCUCUCAUAUUAUUGAAAAACUAUCACAGUUACUGGACUUUUGAGAAAUAGCACCGGCUUGCCUUUAUUUUGUUGAUUGCCCAACAAUGUGUAUUGUCUAUUGUGUACACAAGGGAGUCCACUGUCUUAGGGAAAUAGAAACUAAUUAUAUUAGUUUCCUUUCCACCAAAGUAAAAAAAAAAAAAAAAGAUUACCCAGGCAAAACUUAAUAGCUAAUUGAAAUAAAAUACAAGACAAUAACAAUGUAAUUCUGUAACAACCUACGUCAAGCUGAGAGAGUGGGGCUAGAGAGAUAUGUCUUUUGGUUUUGCCAUUGUUGGGUAGUAAGGGAUUUAGAACGCCUAAGAAGGUGUGAUUGCUUGAGUUGGCUCAAGGCAUGGUCUGGGAUAACUACCAAAGUGGACCUCAAGGAAGUGGAGGGUAGGUAUGGCAGCAAUGUGCAUGGUUGAACUUGAGACUUCUAUAGCUAUGGUGAAUCUGGACACUUGUAGAGUAUGCACUGUGUCCUUUGAUCUUGUAAAUUGGUGACUGUGUUUUAUUUGUUUCCAUCCACUAUCUCACUUUUGAUCUAAUGGGUCUUUGAGCGGGGUCUGUCAGGUGUUCUGAUACAGGGAUCUAAUGGGUUUUUGACCUGGGUCUGUUAGGGAUAUAUCUGUGAUCCUUAGGAGGAGAUGAUUAUUGGGACAAGAACAAAAGAAAAUUCAAGAUAGAAAGAUGUAUUGGAAGGAUGUUCAAAGGGGACUCUAUUAAUGCCUCUCCCUUGUAUUUCUUUAUUUUCUUCCAAUAAAUUUUUCAGUCUUUUUCCUCCCUUUCCUUUUAAGUAACAGUUGGAGCUCUUUUUCGAAGUGUUUUUUUGAGUCUUUUCAUUGCUCUUUUUCGGUUGGUUUGACCUUCUUUAUCCUUUCCUUCUUUUUUUACCCUUAUUGUACAUACGCACAUCUAGAAGCAAACAUCCAAAUGCCGAGCGACCUCAAACUGAUUCUUUAUUGAUCCUUUUGAAAUGACAUUUUUUAUAAUAAACUUUAAAGUGUUUGUUAAAAUUAAAAUCAACUUAUUUUCAAUUUUAUUGGUCACCAAAUAUUGCAAGUUUUAGGAAAAGAACACUUGUAGCCAUCUAAAUCAAUAAAGCCCCCUCUGAUGACUAUUUAGUUUUUGAAAAUUGUGUUUGUUUUCUCACUACUUUUCUAUGGUUUUCAUCUCUUAUUGAUGUAAUUACAAACACAAACACUAACUCUACUACAACUUAUUUUUUACUUUGCUAACAGCUGGGUCAGUAUCUUGUAAUUUGAAUAAUAUUAGAAUUUUAGAUUUGUAAAAAGUUGCCGUUUGAGCACUGGGAAGUUGGCCAAUUUAAAGCUCCUCUCCUCCAUCUCAAUUUUGAAUAAUAUACCCAGAAGUAUUUCUUUGAAAUCAGAUUCUCCAAGAUGAGAUUCAUCACUUAUAUUUUAUAUAUUUUUUUAUUCUAUGGCAGAUUUCAAAAACAAAAUCAUUUUUUUUUAAACUACGGGCUUGUUUCAUUUCCUGUUUUUGGUUUUUGAUUUUUAGUUCUUAAAAAAUAGGUGUGUUUGGUAACUAAUUCACUUUGUUUGUUUUUAAAACAAGAAAUUUGUUUUUUAAGUUAGGAAGGAAAACUGAAAAUGUAAAAAGAAGGAUUUUGUUUUUAAAUCAGUCACCUAAUAUUUAUGGUUUUUGUUUUUAAUAAACCAAAGUUUAAAAACGGAAUUUAAUAAACAGAAAAAACAAAAACCAUAAACUGAAAUGGUAACUGAAUGGGGCCUACAUCUUUUUUCGUAAAAUUUAAAAAGUAUGGCUUGAUUUUAAAAAAAACUCAAAGUAGAAGGAAGUAGUGUUUACAAAUUUAAUUCUCAAAAACGAAAUGUUUUUCAAAAUAGGCCUAACACAUCCUAAGACUUAAUAGCUAUCCUCAAGCUUAAAGCAUCUUUACCCUAAUUGCUUCACCAUGCAAACUCGAAAGAAACUUAUCCCUUGUUUCACUCGUGUUCUUAGAUCUUCUUCUCACCUAAUUUGAUUUUUUAUCAUGUUUUCAUUUAUUUUCCAAUAGAAUUUGCCUCGUCUUCCAAUGAUUUGAAAAGUGUUAUCAGGUUGAAAUUGUGUUUUUCUUUGACUUGUACCGACCAGAAAACAAUUCAUCAAAAUUUUAUUUUAUUUAUUUAUGAAUUAUUAUGUUUCCUGAUGGUCACAAAUACUGAAAUCUAUCCAUCGGAUGGUGCUUGUCUUUUAAUUUUGAGCCAGUUUGGUUCAGUCUUUUAAUUGCCGACUUAGUCACUUUCCCAUCCUUCUCAAUUAUUAAUUUGGAUUUUUUUGGCACAUUUCACUGAAUUUGUUUUUGUACUUUCUUUUGAUGAUCGUUCUUUUGCUAUGCUUUUUCUGAUUAGAUGGGUUUGGGGAACUUGUUGAUUUUGUUGUAUUUCAGUCAACAAUAAUAAUGCGGAUGUGUUUUUGGUUUUUGGUCUUUUACUUUUAUUAUUUUAUUUUAUUUUUCUUUUUUUCUAUCUUUGAUUUCUUGUUUCAUUUUUCUUAUUUGAAUCUUCAACUUCAUUGUUUUGAUGGGAGUAUUCAUUUGACAGGCCAGAUUAUUAGUUUGCGUUGUCUUAUUUCUUUUAGAUGCUUGGGAAUCCAUAUUUGCGUUUGAGGUGCUGCUGAACUUGUGGAUGAAUGAUCCUGUACUUUUGGGAGAGUUUAUGUUAAGAGCUUCAUUUGGGCUAAUUUGGCUUUGAUACCUUUUCCAACAAACCCUUUUCGUUUCCUCUUACCGUUUUUCCUUUUCUUUCUUUUUCUUUUUUUUUCCUUUUUUCCCUUUACUUUUCUUCUUUCCACCCCUCGUUUUAGUUUUAUGUAGUAAGGACUGCUGAUUGGCACCAGCCUUGUGUUUUAUACUUCACUUUUGUCAAUAUUAUCAUUUUUAAUCUUUUUAAAGUUUCGUGUGUGUGUAUAUAUAUAUAUAUAUAUAUAUAUUUAUUUGUAUAUAUAUAUAUAUAUAUUUAUAAUUACUAUUUUUGUGAUGUCUUUUUUUUGUCGGGUAAUUUAAUCCUUUUAAGACAUUGGUUGAAUAUUUAGAGGCCCCCUUUCUGUCCUCUUGGAAGUGAUAGAGUUAAUUGAAGUCUCUUAUUUAUAAUUACUAUUUUUGUGAAGUCCUCUUGGAAGUGAUAGAGUUAAUUGAAGUCCUUUUAAGACAUUGGUUGAAUAUUUAGGACUAACCAAACUUCUCAGCUGAGUCCAGUGCUUAAAAUAUUCAGAAGAGUGAUGAUAAGAUGCCUAUUAUUUUGUACUAUUAUUAAUGCUAAUUUUCUAGGCUAUGAAUAUAUAAUAUUCUUCUGUGCUCCAAGUUCAAGAAUUUGCAGUGGAAGAACUUUUGUUACGCAGGUUUCCUCUUCCUUUCUUUUUGGUAGCCGUUCAUCGCCUUCAUCCUCAUCAGCCCCUUCUCUUCUUCAAUUUUGGUCAUUUUUGCAUCGACCCCAAAUCUUCUUCCCUGUUUGUUGCCUCCAUUGCCAUGGUCUUGACCAUCUAGUUCUAGAAACCUUUUUUGAAUCGAUUCUUACGAGAGUUGACUUUAAUAAAGUAUAAACCUGACCCACAGCAUUAGAUUCUUUGAAUUGGCUUGGAGGUUUGAUUCUCCAAGUUCUUGAGUUGGUAACUCUAAAGGUCAGAAGGCUGAUGAUGGACAGAGAGCAGACAACUUGGAAUAUCAUUAUAUUGACAUCAUUCUAAUAUAACACAAGGUAAGGGUAUGGGCAUGUGUGUAUAUAUAUAGUUAUAUAUUUAUGUUAGUACGUGUACUUCUUGCAUUGAUUCAAGUUAAGCUUUAGUUGAUGCCUGAUGUUUUCACUGCAUUCCUUGCAAAACUUUGAAACAUUUCUAUGGUUCCUGAAUAUUCAAAUUCUUUUUGUUUAUUUUUCCAGACAAUUUUAAUGAAAUUUGUAUCAACUAAAUGACACCAUUUUCUUAAGAAAAAAAAGGAAAGUGCUUCCUUGAUUUUGGCAAAUGUUUGGGGUUAGGCUUGGUCCUUUGAUUUAAAAAAUAUUACACAUUUAGUCUUUUUUUUUUAAGUUUUGAGAUUAAUUUUCAAAUUUACAGUAUCGUUUCAAUUUGAUCGAUUUGACUCCAUGAUUUACGUUUUAACUUUGGUUAUUUUAUUUGUUUAAUUUUUCAUUACAUUUUAUAACCUUGGUUAUUUUAUUUUUUAACCUUGUUUAUUUUAUUUAUUAUUAUUUUCACUUUUAAUCAUUACUAUUAGUGUCUAUUAAUUAUUUAAAAAUAAUUACGAAGUAAGAUUUAUCAUUUAUUAUUUAAGUAGUGAAACAAAAUUAAUAAACAGCAGCUAAAGACAAAAGUGAGUGAAAAUUUGAGGUUUUAAAGUGAAUCAAAAGAAAAGAUAUUUUCUCCUUAUUUAAAAAAUGUAAAGGAGUGAUUUUAAAAAGGGAAUGAAUUUGGAAUAAUUUGGAAUGGGGAACCAAUAAAAAUGCACACAAUAUUUGGUAUUAGGCAAGAGUAAAUUGAUUCAUUUCCGUAUAGAAAAACAGAAUAGAUUCAUCUCUCCUAAAUUCCAUGAUUUAUUUUGUAAGUAUUGUUAAUGAUUUUCAAUUAAUUAAUUUUCUCAAUUCAAUUUUUAUAUAAACUGUGAUUUUGAUUCAUCAUUCUGGGCUUACUGUCGAGGCGGACUACACAUUUGGGCCCUUAGGGAGGCCCAACGAAUCAAGCACACGUGGCGAAGAAGAAGGGUGGCUGAGAAUGGAACCGACGUGGCGGAAAACAUAUUCUUUGAGAAUCCUCUUUUAGAAGAAUAUUUUGGGGGAAGAAAAGGAAAGGAAGAUGGGAGGAAAGGAAUAAAGAGAGGGGUUUAUGAAAAGGAAAUUAUUAUUAUAAUUAUUGUUUGUGAGAAGAUUAUGGAGAAUUAUUUAUAAUAUUUAUUUGGAAGAAGGAUUACGAUAAAAAGAUUGUAUUUUUUUUUUCAUUUGUGUAAAAAAAGUGUACCAAAAUAAUUGUGAAAAUAAAAAUGAAAUUCUUGUUUUUUCUUUUUUUAUGAAUUCAAUAUAAAAUGUAAAAUGUGAACAUUUUUUGCAUUUGUGUAGAAUUUUGUUGUUGUUCCUAUCACAAGUUCAUUUUCUUUAGUUAUACCCUAAUUCAAAUACACCCAAAUUUUACAUUAAUUCUUUUUGUUCAUUUUGUAUAAAUAUUUUUUGUUAGCAACUACAAAAGUGAAAUUUUUUACAUUAAAUCAAAUACACAGAAUAAAUUAUAUUAUUUUUUUUCUUCAUGUAAAAUAUGUUUUUGAAAUUAUUACAGUAAAUUCAAUUCAUAGAGAAAUUGUAUUAUUUAUUUUUUUUCAUUUGUAGUUCAAUUUGUUAAUUCCAAAAAUAUAUGUUUUUUUCUUGUUUUGUUGCAUUUUCAGAGAUUCAGUAAAGAAAUAAUUGGAAAGGAUUAUAAUAAUAAUAAAAAGUUAAUUAUUUAAGACAAAAACUUACAAAUUUUUGUUAUUUAUUUUGUUGGAAAGAAGAUUCAAUGAAGUGUUGUGUUGAUUAUGGAUUAAGGGUCCGUUUUGAUUGAAUUAAAAACAUAAUGUUUUUCAAUAAUACAUUUCAUUUUAAAUACUUUUUCGAAAAUGAGUUUAAAAUUUAAACAUUUAAUGUUUGGUUAGAUUUUUUUAUAAUUGUUUAUAUAUGAUUUUGGUUUUUAAAGAUUUCUUUAAAAUACAUUAUUUUAUAAAUGAAUUUUUAAAAAAUACAUUAUUUUAAUUUGCCAAACACUACCAUUUUUUUCAAAAUAGUUUUUUUGGCAAAAUUAAUCACUUUAGAAUCUCAACCAAACACACCCUAUAUAUCUCUUAUUCUAAGCGAAUCUCCACACCAAUGAGAAGAAUAUCUAAAAUAAUAAGAUCACGACACAAUUGUACAUUUUAUUUAGAAAUAUGAUCAAUCAUCAAUGAGAAAUGAGAACUUGUUAAUCAUAAAUUGACUUAAAAGUUUAAGUUAACAUAUUCGUAAAUUGAAUGUUAUAUAUCAUUUAACAAUUUUAUUAAGUUAAACUUUGAAAUUUUAACGAUCUAAUAGAUCAUACUAAAAUUGAAAGUGAAGGAAGAAAAAGACUAUAAAGUUCGAAAGAGAUUAAAGUUCAAUAUGAAAUUUGAUAGAACUAAGUCAUGCACAGCGGAAAAAGAAUCGAAUUUCUACCCUAAUUGCCACAAUUAACAUGUAACCAUAAACUAAUCAAAUUAGGGUUUUAAGAAGUAUUACCUUUGAAGCUUUCAAAAGGUUUGAUGUCUUCUUACCAAUUCUACCCGAGACCACCACUAG